GUGGGGAAUUUUGGACAAUGGGGGAAACCCUGAUCCAGCAACUCUGCGUGGAGGACGAAGUCUCUCGGGAUGUAAACUCCUUUUCUACGGGACAAAUGCCCGCAAGGGUUUGAUGGUACUGUAGGAAUAAGCCACGGCUAACUACGUGCCAGCAGCCGCGGUAAGACGUAGGUGGCGAGCGUUAUUCGGAAUCACUAGGCGUAAAGCGCGUGUAGGCGGAUGCUUAAGUCCGUAGUGAAAUCUCCCGGCUCAACCGGGAGGGGUCUGCGGAUACUGGGCGUCUUGAGUUGGGUAGGGGGGAUCAGAAUUCCCGGUGUAGCGGUGAAAUGCGCAGAUAUCGGGAAGAAUACCGGUGGCGAAGGCGGAUCCCUGGACCUGGACUGACGCUGAGACGCGAAAGCUAGGGGAGCAAACAGGAUUAGAUACCCUGGUAGUCC
rnacentral:rRNA from 1 species